UUGAAUGGUCCAUUGUAUUAAUUAUGUAUUAGCAGUAUGGUCCAUUGGCAGUAUUAAUAUAAUGGUGGAAUAUGAUUCCAGUUUAUUCCACCUCUGGGUAUAUAGAAUGGACAAAUUUCUGACAUACUGUCUACAUCCAUCCUCCCCAACAUACUCAUGCGUGGAGUCAAAACAAUUUAGGCAGAGAUUCUCUCGGUCUCUGCUGGGAUUCUGUGCCCCCAUUCUUUUCCUGUGGUGAAUUAAAUUUAAAAUAAAAAAAGGAAAGAAACUCCAAUAAAAAAUGUAACAUCCCUUCCUGUGAAAAUGGAUGGUCUCUGGGGUCCACUUCCUGUCAUGCUCUCUUGAACUGCGGGGUGUCUGUUCUCAUGUCAGCCGGGAAGAAAGAAAGAAAAAAAAGCCGUGCUGCUGUUCGGGUAUUCCCAGCAGCGCUUGUUUACCGACGUCGAACAAAACAGCCGAAGAGUUUCUCCGAUUUACACAUCCACCGUGACCAAGGAAGGACUGCCCCUCAGCACUGGUAUCGGAUCUCGUUUCUCUGCGGUGCGUCUGGCGUUGUGUGACGAGCGGUACAUUCUGUACGCUUUUCCUCCGGCGCCGGUGGAGUCUACGCACCAGCAGAAAGACGCAAUUAAAAGGGUCCUGCUGACGCUGAAUGAGACUCAACGGGAGAUGACCUUCUUCUGGCAGCUCUUACGGUGGAUUAUUGUCUGGAAGUCACCUGAGAAAAACAGAGAUAAUCCUUUGCUCUUGAUCACAGGCUCCUGUCAUACCUGACUCUCUCUAAACCCCGCACUGUAUCAUCCAACCCUCUCUGUGCUACAGGGGGAAGUGGAGAGGUGGGGAUCUUCCCACUGAACAUUUUUGUGGUGAAAAGUCGAUGAAACAAUGUGUUCUGGCUACAUUAGGUUGAAAAGUGACAUUUUUCUAGCCAACAAGGACAGUCAGGCUAUAUCCAGGCAAAACCUGAGCUUCAGUAUAAGGGUUAACCUAGUCCUUUUUAUAUGAAAACAUCUCUCCGCCUUGAUUUACAUCCCUCUAGAUGUCAAAAAUUCUGGCUUUUACCCGCAGGGUUAAAGUUUUUUUUUUUUUUCCUGUUCGAUGUACAUUCUUUGAACCCUACAGAAAGAAUCAUUAGGAGGCAAAAACAAACCUGGCUUUAGGGUUUAUCAACCUAAACCUUUUGCUCUCCUUACGCCACUAUCAUCUUGAAGAUACUGCUUUUGCAAAACAAAUAGAUUUGCACUAAACCGGUGUCUUUUCUAAGGGUCUCAAAAAAUACAGAGAAAGCUUUUCACACAACUGCAGAAAACGUAAUGGCUUUUUCUCUUGGUGAAAUGGCUGUGCAAACAUUAGGUAUUCAUAAGCAAUGUUUUCUAUCACACUCAGAAACAGAAAUUGGAAGCACAUUGAAAGAAAAAGGGAAGAAAUAACCCUGAAGUAUGCACAUGUGCAUCAGCUUUCCCAGCGAGAUCACAUUUUCCUCACUCUCUCACACUCUCCCUUUUAACAGUAGUGGGGUUUAUUCAUGUUGCUGAGCCACACACAUCCACAUAAUCCAAGCCUGAAGGCUCUUUUGCUUUUGUUAUCGUUGUUGUCAUUCCCCUGCAACUGAAUUCAAGGGUCGGGGCAAGGGGGUAAAUACUGUUGCAGAGGUUCAAAUGUAAUUGCAGCCAAGUGGCUAAUACAUGCAUUAGCAGUCGCUGAGGUGCCAAGUUUUGCACAUUGUUUUACAACAAAAGUGGAUUAGUGCAAUGACUCAGAGUGUGUGGGUGCGUGUGUGUGUGUGUGUGAGUGUGUGUGUGCGUGCAUGGGCACAUGUUUGUGUCUGUCUGAGUAUACAUGCCAAUCUAUGUUUGUCUGGUGAAAUCUUUAGCUCAGGGCAAGUAUCCAGUUUGCACCAAGCCAAAAACUAUUGUUUUAAAACACUAACUGUAAUACAGAUGGUAAAAUCACUUCCAGAUUGUUCAGGCUGGCCUUUAAUCUCACUCUGUCUUUAACAGGACCAGUAUCAGUCUGGGAAAACACGUUGUGGGUGUCCAUUUUGGAUAAGC